rnacentral:rRNA from 1 species
UACAGAGGUCUCAAGCGUUGUUCGGAUUCAUUGGGCGUAAAGGGCGCGUAGGCGGUCAGCACAAGUCAGUUGUGAAAUCUCCGGGCUUAACUCGGAAAGGUCAACUGAUACUGUGCGACUAGAGUGCGGAAGGGGCAACUGGAAUUCUCGGUGUAGCGGUGAAAUGCGCAGAUAUCAGGAGGAACACCGGUGGCGAAGGCGGGUCUCUGGGCCGUAACUGACGCUGAGGAGCGAAAGCGUGGGGAGCGAACAGG